GACACGUAGUUUGAUCAGUGGCUACAGGACAACGCUGGCGGCGCGCCUAACACAUGCAAGUCGAACGAGAGAGAGGGAGCUUGCUUCCUUGAUCGAGUGGCGAACGGGUGAGUAACGCGUGAGGAACCUGCCUCAAAGAGGGGGGACAACAGUUGGAAACGACUGCUAAUACCGCAUAAGCCCACGACCCGGCAUCGGGAAGAGGGAAAAGGAGCAAUCCGCUUUGAGAUGGCCUCGCGUCCGAUUAGCUAGUUGGUGAGGUAACGGCCCACCAAGGCGACGAUCGGUAGCCGGACUGAGAGGUUGAACGGCCACAUUGGGACUGAGACACGGCCCAGACUCCUACGGGAGGCAGCAGUGGGGAAUAUUGCACAAUGGGGGAAACCCUGAUGCAGCGACGCCGCGUGAGUGAAGAAGUAUUUCGGUAUGUAAAGCUCUAUCAGCAGGGAAGAAAGACAUGACGGUACCUGACUAAGAAGCCCCGGCUAACUACGUG
rnacentral:rRNA from 1 species